UGCGCAGGCGGUUUUGUAAGACAGAGGUGAAAUCCCCGGGCUCAACCUGGGAACUGCCUUUGUGACUGCAAGGCUGGAGUGCGGCAGAGGGGGAUGGAAUUCCGCGUGUAGCAGUGAAAUGCGUAGAUAUGCGGAGGAACACCGAUGGCGAAGGCAAUCCCCUGGGCCUGCACUGACGCUCAUGACGAAAACGUGGGGAGCAAACA
rnacentral:rRNA from 1 species